AUUGAACGCUGGCGGCAGGCCUAACACAUGCAAGUCGAACGAGUGGCGGACGGGUGAGUAAUGUCUGGGAAACUGCCUGAUGGAGGGGGGUAACUACUGGAAACGGUAGCUAAUACCGCAUACCAUCAGAUGUGCCCAGAUGGGAUUAGCUAGUUGGGGGGGUAACGGCACAACAAGGCGACGAUCCCUAGCUGGUCUGAGAGGAUGACCGGACACACUGGAACUGAGACACGGUCCAGACGCCUACGGGAGGCGGCAGGGGGGAAUAUUGCACAAUGUGCGCAAGCCUGAUGCAGCCCUGCCGGGUGUAUGAAGAGGGCCUUCGGGUUGUAAAGUACUUUCAGCGGGGAGGCGUUACCCGCAGAAGAAGCACCGGCUAACUCCGUGCCAGCAGCCGCGGUAAUUC
rnacentral:rRNA from 1 species